UAUUAGUAUACAUAACCAAUCAUUUGUAUAUUUACAAACUAAGUCCUGUAUUAACGAUUUUGAACAUUUAUUAGGAAUCCAUAACAUCUAAUCUACAAAAUGUAUUUAAUUCAGUGAGUUUAGCUGCUAACUAACUUCGUGAUAUGUUGCCGACGUUUACCGAACUUAAUGAAAAUAUUAACAGUCAAUCAUGUUUAUUUUGUUUUACAUUAAUAGUUUCCAUGCGCUUCUUUAAGUUAAUCAAACGUUGUCAUAACAAGACAACUUUCGAGUUUGAUGCGUUUCCGUCAAAAACUUUAGGUUUUAGUGCGUUUAUAUGCAGCGUCACAUUCGUUCUAAUGUUGAGCGAGUGGUUGGAAAACUGUUAUGCUAUAUUGCACGAAUGAUACGGCAAAUUGAAUUCUCAUAAUUGACAAUCAGCACUGCUGUCAUUAGGGAAUUGUGAUUAAGUACCUACGGAACAAACAUUAUUUCUAGUUUAACCUACACAAUGACGAUCACGAAUACGCUUGAUGAACGUUAAAAGUGCAGGAAUACAGGCGAUCCCCUCCAUCUGGUAAAUGACGUCAUAAAGGCGCGCAUAAUUAACGAUUUUUUUCGAUGAAGGACAACCUCGAAAGUGGUCUAUCGUUAAAUGAUUUUUGCGUUUAAUUUUAUUUUCUUUCUUCAGAAGCAAAUAACUUUAUCUAAUUUCCAUGUUCGUUUACCUUCUCUUUCCCAUUUACCACGAUUCUCCCUCUCACUUGCGCUGUGCUAUGCGGAAGAACUAAUACGAGUACUCGCUUUAAGUUUAUGGUAUACAGAAAAGCAUUCGGCGAAUAAUAUGGAAACAUAAUAUUUCAAUAGCACUACAUAUCUUAUGUUUUCUUUUAAAAUAAAGUCCUUGCACAAGAUAUUUAUAGAAAAACCUGGUCAUAGUAUAUAUCUAACAUAUGCA
rnacentral:lncRNA from 1 species